GCGGCCUAUCAGCUUGUUGGUGAGGUAAUGGCUCACCAAGGCGACGACGGGUAGCCGGCCUGAGAGGGCGACCGGCCACACUGGGACUGAGACACGGCCCAGACUCCUACGGGAGGCAGCAGUGGGGAAUAUUGGGCAAUGGACGAAAGUCUGACCCAGCGACGCCACGUGCGGGAUGAAGGCCUUCGGGUUGUAAACCGCUUUCAGCAGGGAAGAAGCGAAAGUGACGGUACCUGCAAAAGAAGCACCGGCUAACUAUGUGCCAGCAGCCGCGGUAAUACAUAGGGUGCAAGCGUUGUCCGGAAUUAUUGGGCGUAAAGAGCUCGUAGGUGGUUAGUUACGUCGGGUGUGAAACUCUGGGGCUCAACCCCAGACCUGCACUCGAUACGGGCUAGCUAGAGUUUGGUAGGGGAGACUGGAAUUCCU
rnacentral:rRNA from 1 species